GUAGGGAAUAUUGCACAAUGGGGGAAACCCUGAUGCAGCGACGCCGCGUGAGUGAUGAAGGCCUUCGGGUCGUAAAGCUCUGUCGUAUGGGACUAACACAAUGAAGGUACCAUGCAAGAAAGGAUCGGCUAACUUCGUGCCAGCAGCCGCGGUAAGACGAGGGAUCCUAGCGUUGUUCGGAAUCAUUGGGCGUAAAGCGGGUGUAGGCGGAUUUAUAAGUCAGGUGUGAAAUCCCAGGGCUCAACCCUGGAAGUGCACUUGAUACUGUAAAUCUUGAGUGUGGUAGAGGUUACUGGAAUUGUUGGUGUAGUGGUGAAAUACGUAGAUAUCAACAGGAAUACCGGAGGCGAAGGCGAGUAACUGGGCCAACACUGACGCUGAGACCCGAAAGCGUGGGGAUCAAACAGGAUUAGAUACCCUAGUAGUCC
rnacentral:rRNA from 1 species